UACCAGCACCCCGAGUGGUCGGGACGAUUAUUGGGCCUAAAGCAUCCGUAGCCGGUUUUACAAGUCCUCCGUUAAAUCCAGCUGCUUAACAGAUGGGCUGCGGAGGAUACUAUAAGACUAGGAGGCAGGAGAGGCAAGCGGAACUCAGUGGGUAGGGGUAAAAUCCGUUGAUCCAUUGAAGACCACCAGUGGCGAAGGCGGCUUGCCAGAAUGCGCUCGACGGUGAGGGAUGAAAGCUGGGGGAGCAAACCGG
rnacentral:rRNA from 1 species